UACAGAGGUCUCAAGCGUUGUUCGGAUUCAUUGGGCGUAAAGGGUGCGUAGGCGGCGCGGUAAGUCGGGUGUGAAAUCUCGGAGCUUAACUCCGAAAUUGCAUUCGAUACUGCCGUGCUUGAGGACUGGAGAGGAGACUGGAAUUUACGGUGUAGCGGUGAAAUGCGUAGAUAUCGUAAGGAAGACCAGUGGCGAAGGCGGGUCUCUGGACAGUUCCUGACGCUGAGGCACGAAGGUCAGGGGAGCAAACAGG
rnacentral:rRNA from 1 species